UGCUUUGCACAGUGGCAGUAUCGUAGCCAAUGAGGUUUAUCCGAGGCGCGAUUAUUGCUAAUUGAAAAGAACACAGUCUGAA
rnacentral:snRNA from 1 species